rnacentral:lncRNA from 1 species
CUAUUUAUUCUACUUUUCUUUUUUUUUUAAGGCAAACCUUUAUGUCAAAGCAACGGUUCUCUCUAACCUUCUCUUACUCGCCUUACUUGAAACCUGUCCAUUUUUCGUACUAAAAACUUCUCACCUCUGUGCCUUCUGUACUUCUCGGCUCAAGCAAGAGCCACAGUGACUGGAACAAGAGUAAAGCCACCUUAAUCAGUCAAGCAAGCAAUUUGAGGAAACCUGUCCACUUUUCCUACUAAACACUUCUCACCUCUAUGCCUUCUGCACUUCUCAGCUCAAGCAAGAGCCACAGUGACUCGAACAAGAGUAAAGCCACCUUAAUCAGUCAAGCAAGCAAUUUGAAUAUGGAUUAUGAACAGGCUCUUACCCGUUCCAUUUAUUAUUCUAAGGUCGAAUUGAAAGGUAGGUUUUGUCAGUGAUUAAAUGGAAAAACUUUUAGGCUAAUUAAAAGCCGAAACAAAGGAAAUUAAAACACUCCCUUCUUUCUUUUCUGUCGACAAUGAUGAAAACCAGAUCGAACUAUAAAGUAAUUUUACUUCAUUGUUCAAGCUUUUGAAUGCUUUCCUAUUCAAGACAUACUACCAAUUCCUUUGAAGCUACUACCACUACCGAAGCUGGCUUGUUUGUUUUGGUUACCGGUUGGGGUUUUGAAACCAGAGAAAGAAGAUCCGGUUGGACUUGCGCAUACUACCAGUUCCUUUGAACCUACUACCACUACCGAAGUUGGCUUGUUUGUUUUGGUUACCGGUUGGGGUUUUGAAACCAGAGAAAGAAGAUCCGGUUGGACUUGCUAGCGAUGGGAGAUUAGUCACCGGAAGACUUGCUGGCUUGCUCCUUCAAAAUAAGGUGGCUAAGACGGAUGGCCUAUUCCAAUAGCUGGCAGACGGGCUAUUACGCCUAUUCAACAUAUUCCGAUUGUGAUACAAUUCCAUUGCCUGCUCCUAUUCAUGUUCGUGCUUACUUGUAUGCCGAAACUUC